rnacentral:rRNA from 1 species
CGCGGGAAUUCGAUUCCUACGGGAGGCAGCAGUGGGGAAUAUUCGGCAAUGGGGGAAACCCUGACCGAGCAACGCCGCGUGAGUGAAGAAGUUUUUCGGAAUGUAAAGCUCUGUCAUGAGGGAAGAAAGCUAUGUUAUUUAAGAGAUGAGAUAGUUGACGGUACCUGAUAAGAAAGCUCCGGCUAACUACGUGCCAGCAGCCGCGGUAAUACGCAGGGAGCGAGCGUUGUCCGGAAUUAUUGGGCGUAAAGGGCGCGUAGGCGGUCAGACAAGUCAAAUGUGAAAUACAGCGGCUCAACCGUUGGGGUGCGUUUGAAACUGUAGGGCUUGAGUACAGGAGAGGAGAGUGGAAUUCCUGGUGUAGUGGUGGAAUGCGUAGAUAUCAGGAAGAACAUCGGUGGCGAAGGCGGCUCUCUGGCCUUGUACUGACGCUGAGGCGCGAAAGCGUGGGGAGCAAACGGGAUUAGAUACCCCGGUAGUCCACGCCGUAAACGAUGGAUACUAGGUGUAGGUGGUUAGACUCCAUCUGUGCCGCAGUUAACGCAAUAAGUAUCCCGCCUGGGGAGUACGGUCGCAAGAUUGAAACUCAAAGGAAUUGACGGA